UAAACUGGAGGAAGGUGGGGAUGACGUCAAGUCAUCAUGGCCCUUACGACCAGGGCUACACACGUGCUACAAUGGCGCAUACAAAGAGAAGCGACCUCGCGAGAGCAAGCGGACCUCAUAAAGUGCGUCGUAGUCCGGAUUGGAGUCUGCAACUCGACUCCAUGAAGUCGGAAUCGCUAGUAAUCGUGGAUCAGAAUGCCACGGUGAAUACGUUCCCGGGCCUUGUACACACCGCCCGUCACACCAUGGGAGUGGGUUGCAAAAGAAGUAGGUAGCUUAACCUUCGGGGGGGCGCUUACCACUUUGUGAUUCAUGACUGGGGUGAAGUCGUAACAAGGUAACCGUAGGGGAACCUGCGGUUGGAUCACCUCCUUACCUUAAAGAAGC
rnacentral:rRNA from 1 species